rnacentral:pre_miRNA from 1 species
AUGUGAAUCCCUGGGGAGCUUGUUAAAAUGCAGAUUCAGAUUCAGUGGGUCUAGGUGGGGAGUCUGCAUUUCUAGCAAGUUCUCAGGUGAUGUGGUC